GCCGUCCUAGCUCAGUCGGUAGAGCAGCGGAUUUGUAAUCCGCCGGUCACGGGUUCGAUUCCUGUGGGCGGCU
rnacentral:tRNA from 1 species